rnacentral:lncRNA from 1 species
UCAUUGUAUUUACAUUAAACACUUCCCUAUUUCAAAUCAUGUUUCAUACGUAUUUUCAUGUAUAUAUUCUCAUGAAUAUUCAUAUUUUUUUAUAUACAUAUUAUUCCCUAGCCCUAAUCCUACCCAAAAUUUAAUACUAAUCCUAUCUCAUCCUAUACCUAAACAUAAUUUUCCAUAAUAGCAUAUAUAAUAAUAUGAAUAUUUAUGUGUAUUUUGACAUUGAUAUUCAAUCAUUCAAGGUAUAUUUGUAUGUUAUUAAAUAUUCAUAUAUAAAAUUUACCCAUGCAUCCCAAAGUUAAAAAAGUGACUUCAGAAUAAACCCUUUGUUAUUUCAAAACAUAUACGUUUUCAAACAUAUUAGCACACAUUCUUAUGAAUAUUUGUUUCCUAAUAUACAUAUUUAUUCCCAAACCCUAACCCUAAAAGACCCUUCCAGGCUGCCUUCCAUCAGGACAGCAAUAUUUAGUGCUUCCUCAUAGUGCAGGUACAUUAAGCAUAAGGUGAUUGGCUUAUAGAUGUUAGGAGCUCAUGUGUGAUUGGUGGGCACGCCCUUUCUGAACUCUAACAGCUGUAUGCAUUCCAAAAAUAAAUGAGCUUGAGCUUGCUGAACAUCCACUGAGUUUGUUGAAUGUCGACUCCGGUUUCUCAUCUGCCAGCUCUCUCACCAGCUCCCAGUGUCGGUGUUGAUUUGACACUGCAUCUCUCCCUCCCACAACUGAGGUAGCGGAGUGACCAUCUAUCACAUCAGUGACUAGGAACACAUACAAAAGGCAUGCUGUCCAUCUACAACUACAAAAAAAAAAGAGAAUGUAUGUAUGAAAAUCUUAUAAAAACAUAUAAAUAUAUGUGAUUUGAAAUAGAGAAGGGAUUAAGGUGAAUCAUAUGAAUAGACUCUUUAAAUUUGUGGAUGCAUGGAUAAAUCACACAUAUGAAUAUGUAAUAAUAUAUACAAAUAUACCAUUGAGAAUUGAAUAUUGAAGGAAAAAUACACAUAAAUAUUACAUUAAUAUAUAUGAUCUUAUGUUAAAUUAGGUUUAUGUAGAGAAAUAAAUUUAGGAUUGGUAUUAAAUUUUGUGUAGGGAUAGGUUUAGGGUUGGAGAAUGAAUGUAUAUCAGAAAUUUAAUAUUCAUAUGAAUGUAUACAUUAAAAUUUAUAUGAACAUCUAUAGAAAUAUGUUUUGAAAUAGGGAAGGGUUUAAAGUGAGUCAUGUUAAUACACCUUUGAAAAUUUGGGGAUGCAUGGGAUAAAUUACAAACAUGAGUAUAUAAUAACAUGAAAAUAUCAUUGGUAAUUAAAUAUAUGUCAAAAUAUACAUGACUAUUCAAAUUAAUAUGUGUUUUAAUGUUAAAUUAGAUUUAGGUAUAGAGUGAAAGUUAAAUUUAAUAUUCAAUUUUAUGUUGGGUUAGGGUUAGGUUAGAGAAUAAAUGUGUAUAUUUGGAAACAUGAAUACUCAUAAAAAUAUAGGCAUGAAAAUUCAUAUAAAUAUGGAAGUUUUGAAAUAGAGAAGAGUUUAAAGUGAAUUGUACAAAUAUAAUUUUUGUAAUUUGGGGACACAUGGAUAAACAUAUGAAUAUAUAAUGAUAUAUAUGCAAACAUAUCAUUGAUAAUUGAAUAUAUAUGUCAAAUAUACAUAAAUACUCAUAUUAAUAUGCAUGCUUUUAUGUUAAAUAUGUUUAGUUAAAGGGGUACAUUUAGGGUUAGUAUUAAACUUUGUAUUGGGUACUGUUAAGGUUAGGGGAUGAAUAAGUAAUUGGGAAAUAUGAAUAUUCAUAAGAAUGUACAUAUAAAAUAUGUAUAAAAACAUAAAUUACAUGUUUUGAAAUAGGGAAGGGUGUGAAGUUAGUCAUAUCAAUACAAUUAUUAUAAUAUGGAAAUGCAAGGAUGAAACAUAAAUGAAUGUAUAAUAAUACAUAUGCAAAUGUUACCACUGAUAAUUGAAUAUAUAAGUCAAUAUACAUGUAAAUAUUCAUGUUAAUGUACAUGCUUUUAUGUUAAAUUGGGUUUACAUCUUGGAGUAAAUAUAGGGUUAGUAUUAAAUUUUGUGUAGUUUUAUGUUUAGGGUUAGGGAAUGAAUAUGUGUAUCAGAAACAUUAAUAUUCAUAAGAAUGUAUACACAAAAUAUAUAUAAAAACAUUUUUUUAGUUUUAUUGAUAUUAUUUUUUUAAUACAUGACAGCAGAAUGCAUUACAAUUCUUAUUACACAUAUAGAGUAC